CCCUAAUACAUGCAAGUCGAGCGGAUUUCACGGAGCUUGCUCCGUGACUUCAGCGGCGGACGGGUGAGUAACACGUGGGCAACCUGCCUGUAAGACUGGGAUAACUUCGGGAAACCGGAGCUAAUACCGGAUAACUCUUCGGACCACAUGGACUGAAGAUAAAAGAUGGUUCUGCUAUCACUUACAGAUGGGCCCGCGGCGCAUUAGCUAGUUGGUGAGGUAACGGCUCACCAAGGCGACGAUGCGUAGCCGACCUGAGAGGGUGAUCGGCCACACUGGGACUGAGACACGGCCCAGACUCCUACGGGAGGCAGCAGUAGGAAAUCUUCCGCAAUGGACGAAAGUCUGACGGAGCAACGCCGCGUGAGCGAUGAAGGCCUUCGGGUCGUAAAGCUCUGUUGUUAGGGAAGAACAAGUAUCAGUUAACUGCUGGUACCUUGACGGUACCUAACGAGAAAGCCACGGCUAACUACGUGCCAGCAGCCGCGGUAAUACGUAGGUGGCAAGCGUUGUCCGGAUUUAUUGGGCGUAAAGCGCGCGCAGGCGGUUCUUUAAGUCUGAUGUGAAAGCCCACGGCUCAACCGUGGAGGGUCAUUGGAAACUGGGGAACUUGAGUGCAGAAGAGGAGAGCGGAAUUCCACGUGUAGCGGUGAAAUGCGUAGAGAUGUGGAGGAACACCAGUGGCGAAGGCGGCUCUCUGGUCUGUAACUGACGCUGAGGCGCGAAAGCGUGGGGAGCAAACAGGAUUAGAUACCCUGGUAGUCCACGCCCGUAAACGAUGAGUGCUAAGUGUUGGAGGGUUUCCGCCCUUCAGUGCUGCAGCUAACGCAUUAAGCACUCCCGCCUGGGGAGUACGGUCGCAAGGACUGAAACUCAAAAGGAAUUUGACGGGGGCCCGCACAAGCGGUGGAGCAUGGUGGGUUUAAUUCGAAAGCAACGCCGA
rnacentral:rRNA from 1 species